rnacentral:rRNA from 1 species
GACGAACGCUGGCGGCGUGCUUAACACAUGCAAGUCGAACGGAAAGGCCCUGAUUUUGUGUGGUGCUCGAGUGGCGAACGGGUGAGUAACACGUGCGUAACCUGCCCUUGCCUUUGGGAGAACUUCAGGAAACUAGGGCUAAUACAGGAUACGAGCUCCUGAUGCAUGGUGUGGGUUGGAGAGUUUCGGCGGUUGGGUAUGGACUCGCGGCUUAUCAGCUUGUUGGUGGGGUAGUGGCUUUCCAAGGCUUUGACGGGUAGCCGGCCUGCGAGGGUGACCGGGCACAUUGGGACUGAGAUACGGCCCAGACGCCUACGGGAGGCAGCGGUGGGGAAUAUUGCACAAUGGGCGGAAGCAUGAUGGAGCGACGCCGCGUGCGGGAUGACGGCCUUCGGGUUGGAAACCGCUUUCGCCUGUGACGAAGAGUGAGUGACGGUAAUGGGUAAAGAAGCACCGGCUAACUACGUG